UAAAGGCACAGAAACUCUAGGUGAAGCCAAUACUCAGCUUUCUCUCUUUCCACUCAGUCCUCUAAGCUUUAUGCUGCCACCAUUUGGAGCCAUUAUAUAACUGAUUAUUUGCAUUAUUAUAAAAAUCAUUUGACUAAAUAACUUCCUUACCACGAUUAUAUAACAAAAUUCUACAUAAUAAGGGAGCCUUAUGAGAUUAUAGAACUCAUAGACCUCUUUCUAGUUAGUGUUUCUGUUUUUUUUUUUCUGGGUGUAUUACUAGCAAACUUUUUUGGUGACCUGUUGCUUAGCAACUGGCAUCACUAGGAAGUGUUUGCACUCUAGUAAGACAUUCUAGUUAAGGAUCUCGGUGGUCACGUACCCUUUGCCACCAGAAGGAAAUUAAUUUUUAAUCAUGCAAAGAACUUGAAAAGCUGCCACUGAGAAGGGGCCAUCUGUGGCUAUGGCAGACUUUUUUUUUUUUGGCUCCAGAAAUAGUAUUGCCCUUUAGCCCACUGUCUUCUGAGCAGUUCAACAAGAUUAGACGUGCUGCUGAAAAAUCCUGGAAGAAUGAAACUCGAUGGUCGAUACAUAUCCAACAACAUAUGGGGCCCAUUUCCGGAGAAAAAAACUGGACGAACCCCCAAGUAUCCAACCGUUCUCUGAAACAAGAGUAAACAACCCUCAUCCACACGAAUUGUUUCUAGUAAACAACAUCCAUUAUCUUCCUGGAUAUUACAACUCUAAAACACCAGCGCCUGAAAAAAAUAAAGUUUCCUGUCCAGAGAUUACGACUUUCUUUAAAGAUUCAAUGAAUAUUAAGCGACGAGUGGCAGAGGUGAUCCGGAAAUGGUCCUCCAGCUUGGAGGGUAGCCGGAGCUCAGGGCAGAAGAACCAGGAAUAACCCCCAGACCUUGUGGGCACAAGGAAGGCCAUGUACCAAGAAGAAUGUCGGUCUUAUUAGCUCCACUUUAGCUUCAGUCCAUUAUAGAAUAUCUUACCACAGGGGAUGUUUCUGGGGAUUUGUUUCAAGAGCAAAUGACAUUUCCCCCUCCCUUAGAAGUAACUACACUUUUCUCUAGGACCCCAUCUCCACUGAAGAUUGAUCUAAACUAAAAAUCAUCUUUAGUCCUGGAAGGUAAUCAUAAUAAUGACAUUUAUGUACAGGGCAUUUUAAGAUUUUCAAAGCACUUUACGUGUUAUCUUAUUUGAUCCUCUUAUAAAUAGAACUUGAACCUGAAAGGGUAUCAUGUUCUUCUACAACUUUGCUCAUGGAUGCUCAAUUUCUAUUUGGGGAACUUCCAAUCUUACUUCCUUUGUCAACCUUAGGAAAUCCAUGUGCAACCAACAAUCUUGAGGACAGACAUUGUCCCAGUCCUUCCUUCCCUGCCUCCUGCCUCGUCCUGGGAGACUCUAUUUCUUGCCGCUUUGUGGUUUUCGUCCUGACAGAUAACAGCAUAGGAUGAGAUGCUGAGUGUAGUGGAAAGAAAACCGGCCUCAGAGUCACCUCCUCUCAAUUGGAAUCAUGGCUUGGAUUCUUACUAGCUGUAUGAACAUGACCAAGCCUCAUCUUACUCUGAUCAACUGCAGAUACUAAGAGUUGCACUAACCACCUCACAAGCCUUUGUGAGGAAAAUGCUUUGUAAACCUUAAAGCACUAUAUAUGCAGAUGGAUUUUUGUUAUUAUAAAAUGUAUAGAUAGAAAGGACAUUGGCAGGCUGGGCAGGUCUGGAGGAGGUGACCAACAUGGUGAAGGAGAUGACAGAUCUGCUGAAAGAGCUAAGGAUGUUCAGCCUGCAUAAGAGAUGUGCGUGAUUCAUGAACAGAUGUCUUCAAGGAUCUGAAAGGCUCUCAUGCAGGUGACCUGGGUAGCUAGGGUAGAUAGUGGAUAUUGAACCUGGAGU
rnacentral:lncRNA from 1 species